UGAAUACGAGAUGCUACGGCAUUGAAGUAGUGUAUGUCAGACUUCCAAGAAAAGCUCGCAAUGUCAUAAAUAAAUAAUGCCUGUACCAUAACCGACACAGGUGGGUAGGUAGAGUAUACUAAGGGGCGCGAGAUAACUCUCUCUAAGGAACUCGGCAAAAUGACUCCGUAACUUCGGGAGAAGGAGUGCCUCAUUUAUGAGGUUGCAAUAACAAGAUCCAAGCAACUGUUUACCAAAAACACAGGUCUCCGCUAAGUCGUAAGACGAUGUAUGGGGGCUGACGCCUGCCCAGUGCCAGAAGGUUAAAGAAGUUGGUUAGCAUCCGCGAAGCUGAUAACUGAAGCCCUGGUGAACGGCGGCCGUAACUAUAACGGUCCUAAGGUAGCGAAAUUCCUUGUCGGGUAAGUUCCGACCCGCACGAAAGGCGUAAUGAUUUGGAUUCUGUCUCAGAGAGGGACUCGGUGAAAUAGACUUGUCUGUGAAGAUGCGGACUACCUGCACCAGGACAGAAAGACCCUAUGAAGCUUUACUGUAACUUGAAAUUGAAAUUGGACUUUAGUUGCGCAGUAUAGGUGGGAGGCGUUGAGUUUAUUCUUGCGGGAAUUUAGGAGCCAUCAGUGAGAUACCACUCUGCUAAUGUUAGAUUUCUAACUUUGCAUCAUAAUCUGGUCAAAGAACAGUUUCAGGCGGGCAGUUUGACUGGGGCGGUCGCCUCCUAAAUGGUAACGGAGGCGUACAAAGGUUUCCUCUGAACGUGUAGAAAUCGUAUCUAGAGUAUAAAGGCAUAAGGAAGCUUGACUGUGAGACUUACAAGUCGAGCAGGGACGAAAGUCGGUCUUAGUGAUCUGACGGUGCUGAGUGGAAAGGCCGUCACUCAACGGAUAAAAGUUACUCUAGGAUAACAGGCUGAUCUCCCCCAAGAGUUCACAUCGACGGGGAGGUUUGGCACCUUGAUGUCGGCUCAUCGCAUCCUGGGGCGGUAGUACGUCCCAAGGGUUGGGCUGUUCGCCCAUGAAAGCGGUACGCGAGCUGGGUUCAGAACGUCGUGAGACAGUUCGGUCCAUAUCCGGUGUAGGCGUUAGAAUAUUGAGAGGAGCCUUCUUUAGUACGAGAGGACCGAGAAGGACAUACCUCUGGUGUACCAGUUAUCGUGCCAACGGUAAACGCUGGGUAGCUAUGUAUGGAGUGGAUAACCGCUGAAAGCAUCUAAGUGGGAAGCCCACCUCAAGAUAAG
rnacentral:rRNA from 1 species